rnacentral:rRNA from 1 species
GCGCCUAACACAUGCAAGUCGAACGAGAAAGUGGAGCAAUCCAUGAGUACAGUGGCGUACGGGUGAGUAACACGUGGGUAAUCUACCUCUUAGUGAGGAAUAACCCUGGGAAACCGGGGCUAAUACCGCAUAAGCCUGAGAAGGGAAAGCAGCAAUGCGCUGAGAGAGGAGCCCGCGGCCGAUUAGCUAGUUGGUGAGGUAAGAGCCCACCAAGGCAGAGAUCGGUAGCCGGCCUGAGAGGGCACACAGCCACACUGGCACUGAAACACGGGCCAG